UCCCUCUUAGCUCAGUUGGUAGAGCGCGUCACUAGUACUUAUUCUGAAUAAGGUGAUGACGAGGUCAGUCGUUCAAGUCGGCUAGAGGGAA